GAUGAACGCUGGCGGCGUGCCUAAUACAUGCAAGUCGAGCGAACGGACGAGAAGCUUGCUUCUCUGAUGUUAGCGGCGGACGGGUGAGUAACACGUGGAUAACCUACCUAUAAGACUGGGAUAACUUCGGGAAACCGGAGCUAAUACCGGAUAAUAUUUUGAACCGCAUGGUUCAAAAGUGAAAGACGGUCUUGCUGUCACUUAUAGAUGGAUCCGCGCUGCAUUAGCUAGUUGGUAAGGUAACGGCUUACCAAGGCAACGAUGCAUAGCCGACCUGAGAGGGUGAUCGGCCACACUGGAACUGAGACACGGUCCAGACUCCUACGGGAGGCAGCAGUAGGGAAUCUUCCGCAAUGGGCGAAAGCCUGACGGAGCAACGCCGCGUGAGUGAUGAAGGUCUUCGGAUCGUAAAACUCUGUUAUUAGGGAAGAACAUAUGUGUAAGUAACUGUGCACAUCUUGACGGUACCUAAUCGGAAAGCCACGGCUAACUACGUGCCAGCAGCCGCGGUAAUACGUAGGUGGCAAGCGUUAUCCGGAAUUAUUGGGCGUAAAGCGCGCGUAGGCGGUUUUUUAAGUCUGAUGUGAAAGCCCACGGCUCAACCGUGGAGGGUCAUUGGAAACUGGAAAACUUGAGUGCAGAAGAGGAAAGUGGAAUUCCAUGUGUAGCGGUGAAAUGCGCAGAGAUAUGGAGGAACACCAGUGGCGAAGGCGACUUUCUGGUCUGUAACUGACGCUGAUGUGCGAAAGCGUGGGGAUCAAACAGGAUUAGAUACCCUGGUAGUCCACGCCGUAAACGAUGAGUGCUAAGUGUUAGGGGGUUUCCGCCCCUUAGUGCUGCAGCUAACGCAUUAAGCACUCCGCCUGGGGAGUACGACCGCAAGGUUGAAACUCAAAGGAAUUGACGGGGACCCGCACAAGCGGUGGAGCAUGUGGUUUAAUUCGAAGCAACGCGAAGAACCUUACCAAAUCUUGACAUCCUUUGACAACUCCAGAGAUAGAGCUUUCCCCUUCGGGGGACAAAGUGACAGGUGGUGCAUGGUUGUCGUCAGCUCGUGUCGUGAGAUGUUGGGUUAAGUCCCGCAACGAGCGCAACCCUUAAGCUUAGUUGCCAUCAUUAAGUUGGGCACUCUAAGUUGACUGCCGGUGACAAACCGGAGGAAGGUGGGGAUGACGUCAAAUCAUCAUGCCCCUUAUGAUUUGGGCUACACACGUGCUACAAUGGACAAUACAAAGGGCAGCGAAACCGUGAGGUCAAGCAAAUCCCAUAAAGUUGUUCUCAGUUCGGAUUGUAGUCUGCAACUCGACUACAUGAAGCUGGAAUCGCUAGUAAUCGUAGAUCAGCAUGCUACGGUGAAUACGUUCCCGGGUCU
rnacentral:rRNA from 1 species